rnacentral:rRNA from 1 species
UUUGAUCAUGGCUCAGGAUGAACGCUAGCGACAGGCCUAACACAUGCAAGUCGAGGGGCAUCGGGGCGAGGAGCAAUCCUUGCCGCCGGCGACCGGCGCACGGGUGAGUAACGCGUAUGCGACCUGCCCGUUGCAGGGGGAUAAUCGGGAGAAAUCCCGUCUAAUACCGCGUAAUGCCGCGGGGCUGCAUGGCCCUGCGGCCAAAGGAAGCGAUUCCGGCAACGGAUGGGCAUGCGUGACAUUAGCUAGUUGGCGGGGCAACGGCCCACCAAGGCGACGAUGUCUAGGGGUUCUGAGAGGAAGGUCCCCCACACUGAUACUGAAACACGGACCAGACUCCUACGGGAGGCAGCAGUGAGGAAUAUUGGUCAAUGGGCGCGAGCCUGAACCAGCCAAGUCGCGUGAGGGAUGACGGCCCUACGGGUUGUAAACCUCUUUUGUCGGGGAGCAAAUUCCGCCACGUGUGGCGGAGUCGAGAGUACCCGAAGAAAAAGCAUCGGCUAACUCCGUGCCAGCAGCCGCGGUAAUACGGAGGAUGCGAGCGUUAUCCGGAUUUAUUGGGUUUAAAGGGUGCGUAGGCGGACUGUCAAGUCAGCGGUAAAAUACGGGGGCUCAACCUCCGCCCGCCGUUGAAACUGACGGUCUUGAGUGGGCGAGAAGUAUGCGGAAUGCGUGGUGUAGCGGUGAAAUGCAUAGAUAUCACGCAGAACUCCGAUUGCGAAGGCAGCAUACCGGCGCCCAACUGACGCUGAAGCACGAAAGCGUGGGUAUCGAACAGGAUUAGAUACCCUGGUAGUCCACGCAGUAAACGAUGAAUACUAGCUGUCCGGGGCGAAUGAGCCCUUGGGUGGCACAGCGAAAGCGUUAAGUAUUNCACCUGGGGGAGUACGCCNGCAACGGUGAAANCUCAAAGGAAUUGACGGGGGCCCNCNCCAAGCGGAAGGAACAUGUGGUUUAAUUCNGAUGAUACGCGAGGNAACCUUACCCNGGCUNCAAACGACACAGGAACGUACCUGAAAGGGUUCGGCUCUACGGAGCCUGUGUCGAGGUGCUGCAUGGUUGUCGUCAGCUCGUGCCGUGAGGUGUCGGCUUAAGUGCCAUAACGAGCGCAACCCCCAUCGACAGUUGCUAACAGGUCAGGCUGAGGACUCUGUCGAGACUGCCGGCGCAAGCUGCGAGGAAGGCGGGGAUGACGUCAAAUCAGCACGGCCCUUACGUCCGGGGCGACACACGUGUUACAGUGGCAGGUACAGCGGGAAGCCACCUGGCGACAGGGAGCGGAACCCGAAAGCCUGUCUCAGUUCGGAUUGGAGUCUGCAACCCGACUCCAUGAAGCUGGAUUCGCUAGUAAUCGCGCAUCAGCCACGGCGCGGUGAAUACGUUCCCGGGCCUUGUACACACCGCCCGUCAAGCCAUGGAAGCCGGGGGUGCCUGAAGUGCGCUGCCGCGAGGAGCGCCCUAGGGUAAAACCGGUGACUGGGGCUAAGUCGUAACAAGGUAACCGUA